UACAGAGGUCCCAAGCGUUGUUCGGAUUCACUGGGCGUAAAGGGUGCGCAGGUGGGUUUGCAAGUUUGAUGUGAAAGCCCCGGGCUUAACCCGGGAAUGGCAUUGAAUACUGCAGAUCUGGAGGAUUGGAGGGGGGACUGGAAUUCUUGGUGUAGCAGUGAAAUGCGUAGAUAUCAAGAGGAACACCAGUGGCGAAGGCGAGUCCCUGGACAAUACCUGACGCUGAGGCACGAAAGCCAAGGGAGCAAACAGG
rnacentral:rRNA from 1 species